rnacentral:rRNA from 1 species
AUUGAACGCUGGCGGCAGGCUUAACACAUGCAAGUCGAGCGAGCGGCGGACGGGUGAGUAAUGUCUGGGAAACUGCCUGAUGGAGGGGGAUAACUAGUGGAAACGGUAGCUAAUACCGCAUACCAUCAGGGGUGCCCAGAUGGGAUUAGCUAGUGGGUGGGGUAAUGGCUCACCUAGGCGAGGAUCCCUAGCUGGUCGGAGAGGAUGACCAGCAACACUGCAACUGAGAUACGGACCAGACUCCUACGGGAGGCAGCAGUGGGGAAUAUUGCACAAUGGGCGGAAGCCUGAUACAGCCAUGCCGCGUGUGUGAAGAAGGCCUUCGGGUUGUAAAGCACUUUCAGCGAGGAGGCGGUACUCGCAGAAGAAGCACCGGCUAACUCCGUGCCAGCAGCCGCGGUAAUUC